AUAAAGGAUGUUCAAUAUAAUGACACACGAGAAAGACAGGAAUUGGCAAAACUGUCCCAGCAGCUGCCCUGCUAAGCCUUGUGGCCACUGGAACAUCCUUUAGCAAACAGUGUUAGUUUUGGUCAUUGGGCAGAAAGGUCCUGCAAAUACAGGAAGAGGAGCAAGGGGAGAACAAAUGGAUUCUUUCACUUCUGCAGAAGGCUUCAGCUUGGAUUCAGUUGAGAGGUACAUGGUGGCUGAUUUUUGCAAUCAAGCUGAGGAGUUUUCAUCUUAAGCUUGGACCUUCAUAGCUGAUCAUGGCAGCUGACUUCUGUUUCCAAAUCAACUAUCCUCGCUCUGGGGAGCUGUGGAAACAGGCUCAGCACAAGCACCAAAGAGUACAGAGCUAGAAAGCAGAGGAAAAAGGAUUUGAACCUGACUCUUUCUAACUCCAAGAAGCAGGAUACACAUUCUUCUCAAGUGCACGUGAGACAUUCUCCAGGAUAGAUCAUAUGUUAGGCCACAAAACAAGUCUCAACAAAUUUAAGAAGAUUGAAAUAAUAUCAAGUAUCUUUUCUAACCACAAUGGUAUGAUAGAAAUUAAUAACAGGAGGAAUUCUGGACAAUUCACAAAUAUGUGGAAAUUAAAUGACAUGCUCCUGAACAAUCAACCAAUGGGUCAAAGAAGAAAUGUAAAGGAAAAUUUAAAAAUAUCUUGAGACAAAUGAAGAUGGAAACACAACAUACUGAGACUUAUAGGAUGCAGCAAAAGCAGUUUCUAAGAGGAAAGUUUACAGCAAUACAUGCCUACAUUAAAAAAGAAGCAUCUCAAAUAAACAACUUAAUGUCAUACCUCAGUAAACAAGAAAAAAGUAAAAAUUAAACCCAAAAUUAGAAGAACAAAGGAAAUAACAAAGAUCAGAGCAGAAAUAAAUGAAAUAGAGACUAGAAAACAAUAGAUAAACAAAGUGAAUAAUUGGUUUUCAAAAACAUAAACAAAAUUGACAAAACUUUAGCUAGAUUAACAAAGAAAAAUAAGUAAAAUUAGAAGUGAAAGAGGGAACAUUACAACUGAUACCACAGAAAUACACAGAAUCAUAAGGGACUACUAUGAAUAAUUACACAGCAGCAAAUUGGAUAACCUAGAAGAAAUGGGUAAAUUCCUGGAAACAUAUGACAUGCUAAGACUGAAUCAUGAAGAAAUAGAAAAUCUGAACAGAUCAAUAAUGAGUAAGGAGAUUGAACCAGAAAUAAAAAUAUUCCAUCAAAGAAAAACUCAGGGAUUGCUUCAAGGCUAAAUUCUACCAAACAUUUAAAGAAGAAUUAAUACCAGUUUUCUCAAGCUCUUCCAAAAAAAUUGAAGAGGAGGAAUUCUUCUAAACUCAUUUUACAAGCCAACAUUACCCUGACACCAAAGCCAGACAACGACACGGCAAGAAAAGACAAUUACAGGCCUAUAUGCCUAAUGAACAAAGAUGCAAAAAUCUUCCACAAAAUAUGAGCAAACCAAAUUCAAUAGCACAUUAAAAAGACCAUUCACCAUAAUCAAGUGGGAUUUAUCUUUGGGAUGCAAAGAUAGUUUGACAUAUGCAAAUCAAGAAUUGUAAUAUACUGCAUUAACAGAAUGAAGGAAAAAAACAUAUGAUUAUCUCAGUAGAUGCACAAAAAGCAUUUGACAAAGUUCAACAUCUUUUCAUGAUACAAACUCAACAAACUAGAUAAUGUACUUCAACACAAUAAAUGCCAUAUAUAAUAAGCCCACAGCUAACAUCAUACUAGUGCAAAGUUAAAAACUUUUCCUCUAAGAUCUGGAACAAGACAAGGAUGCCCACUCUCACCAUUUCUAUUCAACAUAAUACUGGAAAUCCUAGCCAAAGCAAUUAGGCAAGAAAAAUAAAAGGUAUCCAAAUUAUGAAAAAGUUAAAUUGUCUCUGCUCAUAGAUGACAUGAUUUUCUUUCUAGGAAACCCUAAAACUGUCACACACAAAAAAAAACUUGUUAGAAUAAAUGAAUGCAGUAAAGUUACAAGAAACAAAUCAACAUACAAAAAUCAGUAGUAUUUCUAUUGCUCACAUUAGAAGCUUUCCUCAUAUGUCUGAUGGUCUUUGGUUAUGUUUACAUGUUUGAGGCACUAAAAAACUGAUUAAAGUCUUCAAAACAUG